AUUGUUAUUGAUUGCCUAGCUUCCAUGAACCAUAUAUAUAUAUUUCAAUAAUGCCACAUUGCACUAGAAAUAUUGCUGACAAAGAUGUUAAGAGAGAUCAUGGAGAGAGAGAGAGAGAGAGAGAGAGAGAGAGAGAGAGAGAGAGAGAGAGAGAAAGAGAGAGAGAGAGUAUGAAAAGCCAUAACAAAUUUUAUAGUUAUAUGUCAUUUCCCACUUAAUGAGUUGUUAUAGCUGUUAUCAUGGUAAUGUUUUGACCAUGUCUCAGAUACUGCAUGUGCCCAUAAAAAAGUGUAAUCUAGGACACACCCUUUUGUUUGAUAAUGACAGCAUUUAGCUUUGUAAUGAUAGCUAGUGUAUCUUUUUUCUUCUAAUCUACAGGUUUACCUGCGGCUUCCAGAUGAUAUGAAGAUCAGGAAUAUAGAAAAUAUUGUCAAUUUGAUAUUGCUAAUGACCCAGUCAAGUCUGCUGAAGCCCAGAAGUUUCCAGACCAUGACAUUAAUGAAUAUUCCUUGAAUGGAAUGCAUGAUGAUUAGAAUGGAACCUUAUUCUGCCUUUUUACCAACUCACACCAUCUUUUCAAGAUUUAUGGAGCCAACCACAGAAGAAUUUGUUCUAUACACAUCAUUCAUAACAUUCUUAUUUAUGUUGCAUAACUUUAAAUGUUACUGGAUGAAUUGUGUUCACAUAAUGAAUACCAGCAAACUUUUUAUCGAGUGCACUUAAUUCAUAUUUUUCCUAUCCAUCCAUCUAACAUAUGUUUUUAUAUUACAUUUCAUAUACAUGUUACAUAACAUUUUUGGAAACAGCUAUUUUUUUAAAUUGGAAUUUAGCCUUACUAUUUUAUACAAGUUUUUUUUAAAGGGACUUGGACACGAUUUUAGAUCAAAAUUUUGUUUUCAAUUUCUUUAUGCAUAAAAUGAUUUACUUGCACAUUUUGAAUAAUUGACCAUAAUUUGAAUGUUAGAAGUCAAGUUAUAAGAUAGAUACAGGGGUAAGAAUUUAUUGUUAUGUAAACAAAGCUGGAGUCAUAUGUUUGUUUACAAUUAAUAUAAAGUAUGAAAUUACCAUAAUGAUUCGAUGUGAUCAUAAAUGAUAUUAAUGAUAUUAUUAAUAGAAAAAAGCAACAUUUGAAUGAAACUUACACCAAUAAAACACAUAUGUAAAUAAUAACAAGACUCGCGCUUUGUUUACAAAACAAAGAAUAUUUAAUUCUUGAUCUUUCUUUUAACUCAGUAUUUGACUUUCAAAAUUAGUAUUAUGAUUUUUUUAGAAUGAUAUAUGCAAUUUCAUUAAUUUAUUUUUCAUUUUAAGAAAAUUCAUUUAAAAAAAGAUCUCUUACAACCUGUGUAUUUUUUUUUCAGUUUACAUAACACAGUGUAUUAAUUGAAUGUAGUUGUGUAGAUUUAUACAUGUACCUACAAGCAAUAUACAUUUAAUAUUCACCAGGUACAUGUACCAGCCUACUAUAUUUGAUAAAUAAAUGUACUUCUUUCAUGCCUUUUUCAUGCCUUUUACUCAUUGUUAUAUGUAUUAUUUAUAAUUAAAAUACUUUGAAAACUUUU